rnacentral:ncRNA from 1 species
ACAUGGUUCCUGAUAACGGAUGAAAAGGGAAUUCGGUAAGACUGCUGGUCGAAGCCGGAGCUGCCCCCGCAACUGUAUCUGGAUAGUGUUUCGCCAUUGCCACUGGGUUUGAUGUCCGGGAAGGGGCGAAAACAUGUUGACCCUGGAGCCAGUAGACCUGCCGUGUGCAUUG